GAUCAAGCGAAUAAGUGCAUGUGGUGGAUGCCUUGGCGAUUACAGGCGAAGAAGGACGUGCAAGCCUGCGAAAAGCUCUGGGGAGCUGGCAAUGAAGCUUUGAUCCAGAGAUGUCCGAAUGGGGAAACCCACUCCGCAAGGAGUAUCCCAUCCUGAAUAAAAUAGGGAUGAGGAAGCGAACCCGGCGAACUGAAACAUCUAAGUAGCCGGAGGAAAAGAAAUCAACCGAGAUUCCCAAAGUAGUGGCGAGCGAAAUGGGACCAGCCUGCAAGUGAUAGUUGGAUUGUUAGCGGAAGCCUCUGGAAAGUGGCGCCAUAGUGGGUGAAAGCCCCGUACGCGAAAACAGUCUGAUGGUACUAAGCUUGCGACAAGUAGGGCGGGGCACGUGAAACCCUGUCUGAACAUGGGGGGACCAUCCUCCAAGGCUAAAUACUCGUAAUCGACCGAUAGUGAACCAGUACCGUGAGGGAAAGGCGAAAAGAACCCCGGGAGGGGAGUGAAAUAGAUCCUGAAACCGCAUGCAUACAAACAGUGGGAGCCCCUUCGUGGGGUGACUGCGUACCUUUUGUAUAAUGGGUCAGCGACUUACGUUUUGUUGCGAGCUUAACCGAAUAGGGGAGGCGUAGGGAAACCGAGUCUGAUAAGGGCGAUAAGUAGCAAGGCGUAGACCCGAAACCAAGUGAUCUAUCCAUGGCCAGGAUGAAGGUGCCGUAACAGGUACUGGAGGUCCGAACCCACUAAUGUUGAAAAAUUAGGGGAUGAGCUGUGGAUAGGGGUGAAAGGCUAAACAAACUUGGAAAUAGCUGGUUCUCUCCGAAAACUAUUUAGGUAGUGCCUCAAGUAUCACCGACGGGGGUAAAGCACUGUUAUGGCUAGGGGGUCAUCGCGACUUACCAAACCAUUGCAAACUCUGAAUACCGUUGAGUGCGAGCUUGGGAGACAGACAUCGGGUGCUAACGUCCGGUGUCAAGAGGGAAACAACCCAGACCGCCGAUUAAGGUCCCAAAGACAUAGUUAAGUGGGAAACGAGGUGGGAAGGCUCAGACAGCCAGGAGGUUGGCUUAGAAGCAGCCAUCCUUUAAAGAAAGCGUAAUAGCUCACUGGUCGAGUCGUCCUGCGCGGAAGAUGUAACGGGGCUCAAACUAUGCACCGAAAUCGCGGAUAUGCAAUUUAUUGCAUAUGGUAGGAGAGCGUUCCGUAGGCCGUUGAAGGUGGCUUGUAAAGGCUGCUGGAGGUAUCGGAAGUGCGAAUGCUGACAUGAGUAGCGAUAAAGGGAGUGAAAAGCUCCCUCGCCGAAAGCCCAAGGUUUCCUGCGCAACGUUCAUCGGCGCAGGGUGAGUCGGCCCCUAAGGCGAGGCUGAAAAGCGUAGUCGAUGGGAAACAGGUUAAUAUUCCUGUACCUCUUUGUAAUGCGAUGGGGGGACGGAGAAGGUUAGGUCAGCCGGGUGUUGGACGUCCCGGUUCAAGCGUGUAGGCGUGCUCUCUUGGCAAAUCCGGAGAGCUUAGCUGAGGCGUGAUAACGAGGUCUCAUUGAGACCGAAGUGAUUGAUACCAUGCUUCCAAGAAAAGCCUCUAAGCUUCAGUUACAAAGAGACCGUACCGCAAACCGACACAGGUGGGCAGGAUGAAAAUUCUAAGGCGCUUGAGAGAACUCAGGAGAAGGAACUCGGCAAAUUAGCACCGUAACUUCGGGAUAAGGUGCGCCCCAGUAGGUUGUAGAGCCUCGCGCUCGAAGGCCGAAGGGGUUGCAGUGAAAUGGUGGCUGCGACUGUUUAAUAAAAACACAGCACUCUGCAAACACGAAAGUGGACGUAUAGGGUGUGACGCCUGCCCGGUGCCGGAAGGUUAAGUGAUGGGGUGCAAGCUCUUGAUCGAAGCCCCGGUAAACGGCGGCCGUAACUAUAACGGUCCUAAGGUAGCGAAAUUCCUUGUCGGGUAAGUUCCGACCUGCACGAAUGGCGUAACGAUGGCCACACUGUCUCCUCCUGAGACUCAGCGAAGUUGAAAUGUUUGUGAAGAUGCAAUCUCCCCGCGGCAAGACGGAAAGACCCCAUGAACCUUUACUGUAGCUUUGCAUUGGACUUUGAACCGAUCUGUGUAGGAUAGGUGGGAGGCUGUGAAGCCGGAACGCUAGUUUCGGUGGAGCCAACCUUGAAAUACCACCCUGGUUUGUUUGAGGUUCUAACCAUGGCCCGUGAAUCCGGGUCUGGGACCGUGCAUGGCAGGCAGUUUGACUGGGGCGGUCUCCUCCCAAAAGGUAACGGAGGAGUACGAAGGUACGCUAGGUACGGUCGGACAUCGUGCUAAUAGUGCAAUGGCAUAAGCGUGCUUGACUGCGAGACCCACAAGUCGAGCAGGUACGAAAGUAGGUCAUAGUGAUCCGGUGGUUCUGUAUGGAAGGGCCAUCGCUCAACGGAUAAAAGGUACUCUGGGGAUAACAGGCUGAUACCGCCCAAGAGUUCAUAUCGACGGCGGUGUUUGGCACCUCGAUGUCGGCUCAUCACAUCCUGGGGCUGUAGCCGGUCCCAAGGGUAUGGCUGUUCGCCAUUUAAAGUGGUACGCGAGCUGGGUUUAAAACGUCGUGAGACAGUUUGGUCCCUAUCUGCCGUGGGCGCUGGAAGUUUGAAGGGACCUGCUCCUAGUACGAGAGGACCGGAGUGGACGAACCUCUGGUGUACCGGUUAUGACGCCAGUCGUAUCGCCGGGUAGCUAAGUUCGGAAGAGAUAAACGCUGAAAGCAUCUAAGCGUGAAACUCGCCUUAAGAUAAGACUUCCCCGGGGCCUUGAGCCCCCUGAAGGGUCGUGGAAGACCACCACGUUGAUAGGCUGGGUGUGGAAGCGCAGCAAUGCGUUAAGCUAACCAGUACUAAUUGCCCGUGCGGCUUGAUCCU
rnacentral:rRNA from 1 species